rnacentral:rRNA from 1 species
CCUAUCUUUAAGUCGAGGAUAGCAGUUGGAAACGACUGGUAAUACUGGAUAGGAUUCAAGUUCACAUGAACUACUAUUUAAAGGGGCAAUUGCCCCGCUUGAUGAGGGGUCUAUAUCGCAUUAGCUAGUUGGUGGGGUAACAGCCUACCAAGGCGAUGAUGCGUAGCUGUGCUGAGAGGCAAAACAGCCACAUUGGGACUGAGACACGGCCCAAACUCCUACGGGAGGCAGCAGUAGGGAAUUUUCGGCAAUGGGGGCAACCCUGACCGAGCAAUGCCGCGUGAAUGAUGAAGGUCUUCGGAUCGUAAAGUUCUGUUAUCAGGAAAGAACAUCAUGGAGAGUGGAAAGCUCCAUGACUGACGGUACCUGAUCAGAAAGCCCCGGCUAACUAUGUGCCAGCAGCCGCGGUAAUACAUAGGGGGCGAGCGUUAUCCGGAAUUAUUGGGCGUAAAGCGUGCGUAGGCGGUUGCUUAAGUCUGGUGUAAAACCCAAAGCUUAACUUUGGGAGGUCACUGGAAACUGGGCAACUUGAGUAUGGUAGAGGUAAGUGGAAUUCCAAGUGGAGCGGUGGAAUGCGUAGAGAUUUGGAGGAACACCAGUGGCGAAGGCGGCUUACUGGGCCAUUACUGACGCUCAGGCACGAAAGCGUGGGGAGCAAACAGGAUUAGAUACCCUGGUAGUCCACGCCGUAAACGAUGAGUGCUA